rnacentral:rRNA from 1 species
UUAAGCAUAUCACUAAGCGGAGGAAAAGAAACUAACAAGGAUUCCCUUAGUAACGGCGAGUGAACAGGGAAAAGCCCAGCACCGAAGCCUGUGGCCAUUUGGUCUCUAGGCAAUGUGGUGUUCAGGUCGUCUUGCAGAGGCACUGUCUCACUCUAAGUCCAGCAAUGAGAACGGCAACUUGGACUUGGCCCAAAGAGGGUGAAAGGCCCGUGAGGGUGAGAUUCAGGAUGGCCAGUGUCUCUCUGAGUAGACCUUGGAGUCGGGUUGUUUGUGAAUGCAGCCCAAAGUGGGUGGUAAACUCCAUCCAAGGCUAAAUACUAACACGAGUCCGAUAGCAAACAAGUACCGUGAGGGAAAGUUGAAAAGUACUUUGAAGAGAGAGUAAACAGUGCGUGAAACCGCUCAGAGGUAAACGGGUGGAGUUGAACUGCAAUCUUUGAGAAUUUAAUUGGCAAGUAUGGCAUGGGCUUGGGUAUGCUGGUUGGCCUUUGAAGUUUGCUUGACUGCAGACCCUACUUCUCGGAGUGGGUGCAUGUAGCGCUUUUUAAGUGCUGUGUGCUUCAAGGGUACAUCGGACCUGCUUGCUAGUGCACUUUCUCAGAGCAUUCACCACGACCGGUGCUGUCGUCUGUCUUUUGUGGUUAAACCGUGCUUGUAUGGCCCUCGUGGUCUUGCAGGUUCGGGAUGGCAGGUAGCCUGUUUGCGUUUUUGACGCGAUCGGGUGUAAUCAGCUGACCAUGGAAGUACUGUGCGGGGCGCCGGAGAUGUCGGCUUGUGGUGCGUACAUGCGUGCUAUGUUAGUUGGCGGCUUUGGAUUUGGUUGACAUGUUGUCUGUAAACGCAGACCUGGUAAUAAUUCAGAGUCGUACGAUUGACGGUUGCGCGUGGGGCACUUUAAUGGGCCUAUAGUCUGUGGUGUAGUGGUAGACCAUCCACCUGACCCGUCUUGAAACACGGACCAAGGAGAGUAACAUGUGCGCGAGUCAUCGGGCCCUACGAAACCCGAAGGCGCAGUGAAAGUAAAGGUCCGACUUUGUGUGCGGACUAAGGUGAGAUCCUGUCGUUUCUCAUGCGUGGUACUACCAAGCACUCGAGCGGCAGGCGCAUCACCGGCCCGUCCCAUGGCGUAGACACUGUCUUAUGACUGGUGCACCGCCGGGGCGGAGCAUGAGCGUGCAUGUUGAGACCCGAAAGAUGGUGAACUAUGCUUGCGCAGGUUGAAGCCAGAGGAAACUCUGGUGGAAGACCGCAGCGAUUCUGACGUGCAAAUCGAUCGUCAAACGUGAGUAUGGGGGCGAAAGACUAAUCGAACCAUCUAGUAGCUGGUU